GGUUCAGUGGCAUAGUUGGUUAUCACAUGUGUCUAACAUCACCAUGACUGCCUCUACACAGAAGGUUUUCAGUUGAAGCCUGGAUUGAAUCA